rnacentral:rRNA from 1 species
GAUGCCUAAUACAUGCAAGUCGAGCGAAUGGAUUAAGAGCUUGCUCUUAUCGAAGUUAGCGGCGGACGGGUGAGUAACACGUGGGUAACCUGCCCAUAAGACUGGGAUAACUCCGGGAAACCGGGGCUAAUACCGGAUAACAUUUUGAACCGCAUGGUUCUGAAACUUGAAAGGCGGCUUCGGCUGUCACUUAUGGAUGGACCCGCGUCGCAUUAGCUAGUUGGUGAGGUAACAGGCUCACCAAGGCAACGAUGCGUAGCCGACCUGAGAGGGUGAUCUGGCCACACUGGGACUAGAGACACGGCCCAGACUCCUACGGGAGGCAGCAGUAGGGAAUCUUCCGCAAUGGACGAAAUGUCUGACGGAGCAACGCCGCGUAGAGUGAUGAAGGCUUUCGGGUCGUAAAACUCUGUAUGUUACGGGAAGAACAAGUGCUAUUGAAUAAGCUGGCACCUUGACGGUACCUAACCAGAAAGCCACGGUCUAACUACGUGCCAGCAGCCGCGGUAAUACGUAGGUGGCAAAGCGUUAUCCGGGAAUUAUUGGGGCCGUAAAAAGCGCGCGCAGUGGGUU